GCUUAUGGCCACACCGCCUGGUUCACGGCUGAUCUCGUUUGAUCUCGGAAGCUAAGAUAGGUUAGGCCUGGUUAGUACUUGGAUGGGAGACCGCCUGGGAAUACCAGGUGCUGUAAGGU
rnacentral:rRNA from 1 species